rnacentral:rRNA from 1 species
UGGGGAAUAUUGCACAAUGGGGAAAGCCCUGAUGCAGCGACGCCGCGUGAGCGAAGAAGUAUUUCGGUAUGUAAAGCUCUAUCAGCAGGGAAGAAAAUGACGGUACCUGACUAAGAAGCCCCGGCUAACUACGUGCCAGCAGCCGCGGUAGUACGUAGGGGCGAAGCGUUAUCCGGAUUUACUGGGUGUAAAGGGAGCGUAGACGGAUGUGCAAGUCUGAAGUGAAAGCCCGGGGCUCAACCCGGCAGCUGCUUGGAAUGACUGUGGAUCUGGAGUGCCGGAGAGGUAAGCGGAAUUCCUAGUGUAGCGGUGAAAUGCGUAGAUAUUAGGAGGGACGCCAGUGGCGAAGGCGGCUUACUGGACGGUAACUGACGUUGAGGCUCGAAAGCGUGGGGAGCAAACAGGAUUAGAUACCC